UACGGAGGGGGCUAGCGUUGUUCGGAAUUACUGGGCGUAAAGCGCGCGUAGGCGGAUCUGCAAGUCGGGGGUGAAAGCCCGGGGCUCAACCCCGGAACGGCAUCCGAUACUGGCGGGCUUGAGACCGGGAGAGGAGGGUGGAAUACCCAGUGUAGAGGUGAAAUUCGUAGAUAUUGGGUGGAACACCGGUGGCGAAAGCGGCUCUCUGGCCCGGAUCUGACGCUGAGGCGCGAAAGCAUGGGGAGCAAACAGG
rnacentral:rRNA from 1 species